rnacentral:lncRNA from 1 species
AAAUUGAACCCAUGCCACUGGUUUUGAUACCACUUGCAAAUUGUAAGUUCCAACCAACUAUUCUAAAAGCACAUGCUGAUCGAUAUGGCGGACCUAUCGUACUUAAGGGUUCAAUCACAGUGCUUCACGGGCUUCGACUUGACUCAACACAUCUGGACGUUAGGUCUAUUAUUUGUUGAGUCUCACUACAAUAAAAAGGUGUAUAGAGACACUUUUAAAUAUUGGUAUAGGUCAAAAAAAAGUGCUGUUGGCUAAAUUACCGAUACUUUUUAAAAGUGUUGCUAUAUCUGGGGUCGCUAUAGGUAGGGCCGCCUUAAUAUUUGGCACCCACUCCUCCAGCGACUUGUGGCGGAGGGAUAUGUAGCGAUCGUAGCCUUUUACGGUCGCUAUGAGAUCCUCGCAGCCGAACUCCAGCCGCUGGAACCCUAUCUCAUCGCUCUCGGCGGCGGAGGAGAAGAAAGGGAGACGGUGAUCAAUUUUUCUUUUUCUUUUUUUCCUUUUUUAUUUGUAAUCAGGCCGAGUCGGCUGGGUGUGGUUGGUUGAGUAGAGAAAUUGUUUGUUUUUGAUUGGAUUGGGCUUUAUAUUUAAAGCCUAAUAGAUUUUUUAAAAAAUUUUUGGCAUAAAUGAGAUACUUAAUUAUAUAAAAGUGUCCCAAAAAUGUCCUUAUAACCUAAUUCUGUUGUAGUGGAUCUCUUACCGUUUCAUCU